GCAUAACGCGAAGAACCUUACCAAGGCUUGACAUCCCCUUGACAGGUGCAGAGAUGUACCCUCCUCUUCGGAGGCAAGGGUGACAGGUGGUGCAUGGUUGUCGUCAGCUCGUGUCGUGAGAUGUUGGGUUAAGUCCCGCAACGAGCGCAACCCUUAUCCUUAGUUGCCAUCAGGUGAAGCUGGGCACUCUAAGGAGACUGCCGAUGAUAAAUCGGAGGAAGGUGGGGAUGACGUCAAAUCAUCAUGCCCCUUAUGUCUUGGGCUACACACGUGCUACAAUGGUCGGUACAAAGGGAAGCGAAGGAGCGAUUCGGAGCUAAUCCUAAUAAACCGAUCCCAGUUCGGAUUGUAGGCUGCAACUCGCCUACAUGAAGUCGGAGUUGCUAGUAAUCGCGAAUCAGAACGUCGCGGUGAAUGCGUUCCCGGGUCUUGUACACACCG
rnacentral:rRNA from 1 species